AGAUGCAUUUGGAAGAAGCAGAAGAGAAGAGAAGAAGAAGAAAAGCACAAAAAGGAAAAAAGCAUUUGGUAGUAGAAGCAGAGGAGCGAAGAAGAAACCGAAGAUCAAAAAAGAAGAGUUAAGAAGAAGAAAAACACGAGAAAAAGUAUUUGGGAGAAGAUGCAAAGGAGCAAAGAAGAAGUAGAAGACCAUAGAAGAAAAUGAAAAAGAAAACCGCAGCCUGGAGAAAAAGAAGAUGCGCAAAAAUGUUAGAAAAAAAC
rnacentral:lncRNA from 1 species